rnacentral:rRNA from 1 species
CUACGGGGUGCUCCAGUGGGGAAUCUUAGACAAUGGGCGCAAGCCUGAUCUAGCCAUGCCGCGUGAGUGAUGAAGGCCUUAGGGUCGUAAAGCUCUUUCGCUGGGGAAGAUAAUGACGGUACCCAGUAAAGAAACCCCGGCUAACUCCGUGCCAGCAGCCGCGGUAAUACGGAGGGGGUUAGCGUUGUUCGGAAUUACUGGGCGUAAAGCGCGCGUAGGCGGACUGUUAAGUCGGGGGUGAAAUCCCGGGGCUCAACCCCGGAACGGCCUUCGAUACUGGCAGUCUGGAGUUCGAGAGAGGUGAGUGGAAUUCCGAGUGUAGAGGUGAAAUUCGUAGAUAUUCGGAGGAACACCAGUGGCGAAGGCGGCUCACUGGCUCGAUAUUGACGCUGAGGUGCGAAAGUGUGGGGAGCAAACAGGAUUAGAUACCCGCGUAGUC